UUUGACAAAUGCUCUGUCAAAGCAUGGCAGUUAUCAGUGAUUUAUGGAAAUAGGUCCCAGUCUGAAUAGGAUGGCAUCACACUGCGGAUCCAGACAGUAAUGAAACACCUCUGGAUCUCAGAGAUUAACACCGGUGGGACAGAUGCGACGCAUGUGACACUGAUGUGAUCCCUGUGUUUAUGGUUAAGCUGUCUCACUGAAAAGUAUGUUCAAAGGGUAUUUAAUGUAGUUUAGGCAAGGAGACUAUGUUUACUUUGCAUCUACAGUCAAUGUCCCCAAUGCAUUUGGAAAAGGUAGGGGUGAAAGAAGGAGUCCCACCAAUGGAUAUCUCGAAUUGUUAAACACUGGACCUGAAAGAUUCAGUAAGAAAGACAAUGAAAUUACACACCAUGUCCUGCUUUUAAGCCCAUUGAGUAAUAUGCUUUCGAAUUCUUACAGCUGUAAUGAAUGCCAACAAUAAUGGAAAAAAAGGCUAUUUAAACAGGAAGAAAUUCCAGGUCAAAAGUGAAAACAAAGGCAGAACAAACUGAAUACACACAGUCUAGGCUGGCACCAACCAUUCAUUCAAGGCUCAAUAUCAAGGAGAAACAGAGUCGACUGACAACAACAUCCGCUGACUAAAUGUGGACCCUCAGACAACACCGGCCAGCAGGUCCAUUGUAUGGAAUUCCACGUUGCUCUCUCAAGGUGUGUGAUUAACCCCUACUGUACAGGAGAGCAAACACGACAUCAAAGGCCGUCACAGAGGGUGUCUGCAGGUAACAGGGUCAGCGCGAGGUGAGGGGUCAGUCGCAGGCUGACAGAGCAGCUGCUUUAAUCCAAGGAGAAGAAAAAAGUCACCGUUUUUUUUUCCUUUUUUUCCAUGUUUGCAUUUGCACCCUCUUUGCCUCAAGUGAAAUUAAACUUUUGCACUAUAAAACCAAAUAGUCCCCGAGUGCCUGAUGAAAAAUGACCCAACACACGGUGCCGCGUCUCAUUAUGCGAUCAAGUGGACAACACAUAUUCAUCAAAGGACUGGCUGAGUGAGUAAUCUACGAGUCUGAGACACAGUGUCGGCAACGUAUUUGUCUAGCGUGCAAAAGAGAAGAAAAUCUCCUCUAUAGUUACUUCCAUUCACAUUGUCUUGAAAGUAUGUACGUAUGAAACCUAUAACAUAAAUUGUCAAAGUAAAAACAAAGGCAUGCACCGACAUGAUGGACAUUAACAUUAACUUUUGUUCCCAGUGCUGCGUGUUUCACACAAUACAAGAAAUCUAAUUAUUUUCAUUUUAUUCUUAUUUAUUUUUAAAUUAAUAUUUAAAUUUAGGACGCACCUCACCUCUCACCCAGCUCCAUCAUGAUGGAUAGUGGAUGGACUGACUUUAUAGUUCAGUCUACAAUUAAAUAAAUAACGUAUUACAACUUGGAAAAAAUAAUGUGUUUUGU